rnacentral:lncRNA from 10 species
CUGGCUAGGCCCAGCCACCGCUUCCUGUCAUGUGGCACAGCUACCCGCUGGUGGAGGGUGGGCCCCCGGAAGGGUCACCACUCUUCACUCCUGCAGUCUGGGAGUGUGUCACCACCCGCAGCUCAGCGAGCUGGCCAGGAAUAUGUUAUACUCCUUUUACUCCCGCUGUUUGGCAGGUCCCAAGUUCUUGUUUCGCAUCCAGGAAGAAUGAGGUUAUGUGGAUAACUGGAGGAGACAGGGUCUUGCUCAGCUGCACAGCCCAGAGUACAGUGGAGUGAUCAUAGCUCACUGCCGUCUCCAACUCCUGGACUUAAAUGAUUCUCCCUUCUCAGACUCCUGAGUAGCUGGUACUGUAAGUGCACACCAUCAUGCCUGGCUAAUUUUGAGAUGGGGGUUUUGCUUUUGUCACUCGGGCUGGAGUGCAAUGGCGCAAUCUCGGCUCAGUGCAACCUCUGCCUCCUGGGUUCAAGCAAUUCUCCUGCCU